UAGAGUACCUUUCUUUCUUAAUUGAAAGAGGUAGCAGGUAGAAAUACCCCUAAACCUCGGAGUUCAAAGUUCAUAAUUUUUAUGAUCCCUCAGACAGAUAUGAAAAGUUUUUUUUAAAUCUUCAAAGUAAUGUUGUGGUAGAAUGUGAUGAUGGAUAUGAAAUAGUGUAAACUCGUUGCGUACGAGUAGAAUCUGAGAUGAUUAAAUAAAGGUUAUUAUGACAACCUAGUUUUGAUGAAUGUUUAGAAGAUGUAAACUCCUAGUGAGUAGUUAUGGUGAAAUGUGAUAAUAGAUGAGAAAUCCUCGAAUGAGGAAAUUGUAAAGGUUAAAUUGAAAACCUAGUUUUGAUCAAGAGAAUGAGCAGAGAUUAGGAUGCUUUAAUUUCGAGGACGAAAUUCUUAGAAGAAGGGGUGAAUGUGACAACCCGAGAAAUUAGAAAAUUAUUAAAAUCUUAAAUGAUUGGUUUAAGGUCAAAUAAUAGACCUAGACAGAGAAUAAGUGUAUGUGUUUGAUGUUUUCAGAAAGGAAUUUUGAGGAUUUAAAAUUUCUUUUAGUGAAUUAUUCAGGAUUAAGGGUAUGUGUGUAUAUAUUCUGUGAUUACGGUAUUAUGUGUACAGAAUGUGG
rnacentral:lncRNA from 1 species